rnacentral:rRNA from 1 species
CAUUACCAAAGAACGUCCCGAGCGGGGGGUUGGCGGCUUUCGGUCGUCGGCUCCUCGACCAAAACAAACCAUUCUGCGUACCUUUCCCUGUUGCUUCCCCGCGUUCCCAGAGGACGCGGGGGAGGUCCAACCACAGAAACCCUUUUCGAGCAAACCGAAGUCUGAGACGCGGAAACGUGACCGCAGUUAAAUGGAAUAACGCAAAACUUUCAACAACGGAUCUCUUGGUUCCCACAUCGAUGAAGAACGCAGCGAAAUGCGAUAAGUAAUGUGAAUUGCAGAAUUCAGUGAAUCAUCGAAUCUUUGAACGCACAUUGCGCCUUCUGGUAUUCCGGAGGGCAUGCCUGUCCGAGUGUCGUCGAAACACCAUCCUCCGGGCCUCUGUCACGGCGGAGAGUCUUAGGGGGGUUUUCUGGCCGUCAGGCUGUUGCGGGUCCGCCUCCCGGCGGUCCGGGUCAGUCCGGCUCAAAUGGCAGGUCUGUAGGUUGGAGCGUGCUGCCAGUCGACGUAAUGGUUAAAGUCAUCGACCGUCGUCGCAGCCUCCGGGGCCUCGGGACCUUUAAAACGAUGCAAGCACCUCUUGACCUCGGAUCAGGUAGGGAUACCCGCUGAACUUAAGCAUAUCAAUAAGCAUAUCAAUAAGCGGAGGAAAAGAAACCAACAGGGAUUGCCUCAGUAACGGCGAGUGAAGCGGCAACAGCUCAAAUUUUAAAGCUGGUAGUCUUCAGACGCCCGCGUUGUAAUUUGGAGAGGCAUCUUCGGUUCGGGCGCUGGUCUAUGUUCCUUGGAACUGGACGUCGCAGAGGGUGAGAAUCCCGUGCUUGGCCAGCUGACCCCUUCCACGUGAAGCGCCUUCGACGAGUCGAGUUGUUUGGGAAUGCAGCUCAAAAUGGGUGGUAAAUUUCAUCUAAAGCUAAAUAUUGGUGGGAGACCGAUAGCGCACAAGUAGAGUGAUCGAAAGAUGAAAAGCACUUUGAAAAUAGAGUAAAACAGUACGUGAAAUUGUUGAAAGGGAAGCGCUUGAGGCCAGACUCGUGCGGGGACGAUCAGCCACCCUUCUGGGCGGUGCACUCGUCUUCGUUCGGGCCAGCAUCGGUCGGGACGGCGGGACAAAGGCUUCGGGAACGUGGCUCCUCUCGGGGAGUGUUACAGCCCGUCGUGCAAUGCCGUCAGCCCCGACCGAGGACCGCGCUUCGGCUAGGAUGCUGGCGUAAUGACCUUCAGCGACCCGUCUUGAAACACGGACCAAGGAGUCUAACAUCUAUGCGAGUGUUUGGGUGUCAAACCCUUGCGCGGAAUGAAAGUGAACGGAGGUGGGAACCCCUCGGGGCGCACCAUCGACCGGUCCUGAUGUCUUCGGAUGGAUCUGAGUAGGAGCAUAGCUGUUGGGACCCGAAAGAUGGUGAACUAUGCCUGAAUAGGGUGAAGCCAGAGGAAACUCUGGUGGAGGCUCGCAGCGGUUCUGACGUGCAAAUCGAUCGUCGAAUUUGGGUAUAGGGGGAAAGACUAAUCGAACCAUCUAGUACUGGUCCU